rnacentral:rRNA from 1 species
AGAGUUUGAUCCUGGCUCAGGACGAACGCUGGCGGCGUGCUUAACACAUGCAAGUCGAACGGAAAGGCCCUUCGGGGUACUCGAGUGGCGAACGGGUGAGUAACACGUGGGUGAUCUGCCCUGCACUUUGGGAUAAGCCUGGGAAACUGGGUCUAAUACCGAAUAUGGCCACGCUCUUCAUGGGGUGUGGUGGAAAGCUUUUGCGGUGUGGGAUGGGCCCGCGGCCUAUCAGCUUGUUGGUGGGGUAAUGGCCUACCAAGGCGACGACGGGUAGCCGGCCUGAGAGGGUGACCGGCCACACUGGGACUGAGAUACGGCCCAGACUCCUACGGGAGGCAGCAGUGGGGAAUAUUGCACAAUGGGCGCAAGCCUGAUGCAGCGACGCCGCGUGAGGGAUGACGGCCUUCGGGUUGUAAACCUCUUUCACCAGGGACGAAGCGCAAGUGACGGUACCUGGAGAAGAAGCACCGGCCAACUACGUGCCAGCAGCCGCGGUAAUACGUAGGGUGCGAGCGUUGUCCGGAAUUACUGGGCGUAAAGAGCUCGUAGGUGGUUUGUCGCGUUGUUCGUGAAAACUCACAGCUUAACUGUGGGCGUGCGGGCGAUACGGGCAGACUAGAGUACUGCAGGGGAGACUGGAAUUCCUGGUGUAGCGGUGGAAUGCGCAGAUAUCAGGAGAAACACCGGUGGCGAAGGCGGGUCUCUGGGCAGUAACUGACGCUGAGGAGCGAAAGCGUGGGGAGCGAACAGGAUUAGAUACCCUGGUAGUCC